GUGCUUGCUUUGGCUGCACAUAUCCUAAAAUUGGAGCAAUACAGAGAAAAUUAGCAUGGCCCCUGAAUAGGCAGGCUGCACAAAUUUUUGAAGCAUUCUAUAUUUUG
ensembl:snRNA U6 U6 spliceosomal RNA